AUACCAAUAAUUAAGUAUAAGCAAUCUGGAAUUAUAAAUCAGUGAGUUAACUCAGAAAUAGUGUUCACUCUUUAAUUUAUCAACUAAAACACUCAUAUAAUAUCCAUCAUUAUCCCAUCUAGUAAACCUGGAAAAAAUAAAUUAAAAUAAAAAGGAGACCCCUGAAUAUAUAACCAGAGACCACUGACACCGCGCCGAUGACAACCGAAGAAGAUGAAGAAGAAUAUAGAGAAAUCAAUCUGUUCCAGCACCCCUAACCACCGCGAAAUCAGGGCGUUACAUCAAAAAAUCAUGCCGGCGUGUCAACCGGAGAAGAAGAAGGAAGGACGGUGGUUCAAGGAGCCAUCCUCCUCACCCCGCCGUUGAAGUCAUAGAGGCUCCACCUCCACGGCCAAGCUACAUCUAGGCAGAGACGUACAAUCUUGCAGUAGGAUGGAUUCGAUAUCAUAAAGUCGUGACCACCACCGCAAGGGACGCCGCUCCUUCUGCCAUCUUCGUCGUCCCAUCAUCCAGCAGCUUCCCCAUCACCAAGAGAGGUGGUGGCUCAAAUGGAGGAGAGAAUCACCUCUCUACCC
rnacentral:lncRNA from 1 species